rnacentral:tRNA from 1 species
GCCUCGGUAGUGUAAUGGGUCUGCACGGCAGACCUGGUAUCUGUUAGUGCGAGUUCGAGCCCGCCUAAGGUU